GGCAGGCCUUCUUGGCUAAG
rnacentral:miRNA from 1 species